GAGUUUGAUCCUGGCUCAGGACGAACGCUGGCGGCGUGCUUAACACAUGCAAGUCGAACGGUAAGGCCCCAGCUUGCUGGGGUACACGAGUGGCGAACGGGUGAGUAACACGUGGGUGACCUGCCCCGCACUUCGGGAUAAGCCUGGGAAACUGGGUCUAAUACUGGAUAGGACCGCGCCGUGAGGGUGUGGUGGAAAGUUUUUCGGUGUGGGAUGGGCCCGCGGCCUAUCAGCUUGUUGGUGGGGUAAUGGCCUACCAAGGCGGCGACGGGUAGCCGGCCUGAGAGGGUGGACGGCCACAUUGGGACUGAGACACGGCCCAGACUCCUACGGGAGGCAGCAGUGGGGAAUAUUGCACAAUGGGCGGAAGCCUGAUGCAGCGACGCCGCGUGGGGGAUGACGGCCUUCGGGUUGUAAACUCCUUUCACCAUCGACGAAGGUUUUCUGACGGUAGAUGGAGAAGAAGCACCGGCUAACUACGUGCCAGCAGCCGCGGUAAUACGUAGGGUGCGAGCGUUGUCCGGAAUUACUGGGCGUAAAGAGCUCGUAGGUGGUUUGUCGCGUCGUCUGUGAAAUUCCGGGGCUUAACUCCGGGCGUGCAGGCGAUACGGGCAUAACUUGAGUACUGUANGGGAGACUGGAAUCCCUGGUGUAGCGGUGAAAUGCGCAGAUAUCAGGAGGAACACCGGUGGCGAAGGCGGGUCUCUGGGCAGUAACUGACGCUGAGGAGCGAAAGCAUGGGUAGCGAACAGGAUUAGAUACCCUGGUAGUCCAUGCCGUAAACGGUGGGCGCUAGGUGUAGGGGUCUUCCACGACUUCUGUGCCGUAGCUAACGCAUUAAGCGCCCCGCCUGGGGAGUACGGCCGCAAGGCUAAAACUCAAAGGAAUUGACGGGGGCCCGCACAAGCGGCGGAGCAUGUGGAUUAAUUCGAUGCAACGCGAAGAACCUUACCUGGGCUUGACAUAUACGGGAUCGCCGCAGAGAUGUGGUUUCCCUUGUGGCUCGUAUACAGGUGGUGCAUGGUUGUCGUCAGCUCGUGUCGUGAGAUGUUGGGUUAAGUCCCGCAACGAGCGCAACCCUUGUCUUAUGUUGCCAGCACGUUAUGGUGGGGACUCGUGAGAAACUGCCGGGGUCAACUUGGAGGAAGGUGGGGAUGACGUCAAAUCAUCAUGCCCCUUAUGUCCAGGGCUUCACACAUGCUACAAUGGUCGGUACAGUGGGUUGCGAUGCCGUGAGGCGGAGCUAAUCCCUUAAAGCCGGUCUCAGUUCGGAUCGGGGUCUGCAACUCGACCCCGUGAAGUCGGAGUCGCUAGUAAUCGCAGAUCAGCAACGCUGCGGUGAAUACGUUCCCGGGCCUUGUACACGCCGCCCGUC
rnacentral:rRNA from 1 species